UUCAGGUCCUUGGUAGGGGGCUGUUUUAUUGUGGUCUUCACCUCAUCAUUAUUAAGUC
rfam:Pteropus alecto contig101032, whole genome shotgun sequence.